ACCUGGCUGGCUCAGCCAGUAGAGCACAUGACUCUUGAUCUCGGCGUUGUGAGUUCGAGCCCCGUGCUGGGUU
rnacentral:tRNA from 1 species